UAGGGAAUUUUGCUCAAUGGGGGAAACCCUGAAGCAGCGACGCCGCGUGGGCGAUGAAAUCCUUCGGGAUGUAAAGCCCUUUUAACCGGGACGAAACACAUGACGGUACCGGUGGAAUAAGCCUCGGCUAACUCCGUGCCAGCAGCCGCGGUAAGACGGGGGAGGCAAGCGUUGUCCGGAAUCACUGGGUGUAAAGGGCGUGUAGGCGGGCCGGCUAGUCGGUUGUUAAAUCUCUCCGCUCAACGGAGAAGCUGCGGCCGAUACUUCCGGUCUUGAGUGCGGCAGGGGAGGAUGGAAUUCCUGGUGUAGCGGUGAAAUGCGUAGAUAUCAGGAGGAACACCCGUGGCGAAGGCGGUCCUCUGGGCCUGCACUGACGCUGAGUGCGCGAAAGCUGGGGUAGCAAACAG
rnacentral:rRNA from 1 species